AUUGAACGCUGGCGGCGUGCCUAACACAUGCAAGUCGAGCGGUAACAGGUGUAGCAAUACAUGCUGACGAGCGGCGGACGGGUGAGUAACGCUUGGGAAUCUGCCUGUUAGUGGGGGACAACCCGGGGAAACUCGGGCUAAUACCGCAUACGCACUACGGUGGAAAGCCGGGGACCGCAAGGCCUGGCGCUAACAGAUGAGCCCAAGUCGGAUUAGCUAGUUGGUAGGGUAACGGCCACCAAGGCGACGAUCCGUAACUGGUCUGAGAGGACGACCAGUCACACCGGAACUGAGACACGGUCCGGACUCCUACGGGAGGCAGCAGUGGGGAUAUUGGACAAUGGGCGAAGCCUGAUCCAGCGACGCCGCGUGGGUGAAGAAGGCCUGCGGGUUUGUAAAGCCCUUUUCGGUGGGGAAGAAAGCCUCGAGUUAAUACCUCGGGGUCUUGACGUAACCCCAUAGAAGGAGCACCGGCUAACUCUGUGCCAGCAGCCGCGGUAAC
rnacentral:rRNA from 1 species